rnacentral:rRNA from 1 species
UGAAAGUGCGUGCAGUGGGCGCGGGUGAUAGUUGGGGUGGACGCGUUGGCCGUACUCAUUGGGCGUCAAGCGCGGGUAGGCGGCCCAGGAAGGCCGCUCUGAAAGCCCGGGGCUCAGCCGCGGGAGGGUGGUGGAUACUGCUGGGCUUGAGUCCGGAAGAGGCGAGUGGAAUUCCCGGUGUAGCGGUGAAAUGCGCAGAUAUCGGGAGGAACACCAAUGGCGAAGGCAGCUCGCUGGGACGUGACUGACGCUGAGACGCGAAAGCGUGGGGAGCAAACAGGAUUAGAUACCCUAGUAGUC